rnacentral:sRNA from 1 species
CCACCGAAAAUCUCCGAUAUAAAAAUGGAGGAUUGCUUUCUUCUUUGAGAACUGCCAUCUCGGAUAAAAGAUCUGUGUCGCCAAACUUGCGCGACGCGACACUUUGGAUUAUUUUAUGACCUUUGAUUUCUUAAGAUCCAUAUCAAAUUAAUUUAGUGCAGUUUAUUUAGUUUCGAUUGUGUAAAUUAGUGCUGUGUGGUCUAGUCUAAAUGAAAAAAUACUUUUAAUUUUAAUUAUGCUCUCGCUCGUCUCAGAAGAAAACAAUUCCCAGUUCAGUGAAUUCUAGCGUAGUCUAGAUUUUUCUAGUGAAGUGUAAUAUUUCUGACGUCAUUGAGUGUUUCUAAAUCUGUGCCUUUAAUAAACAUUGGAUUUAGCAGAACAACCAUGACUACUUUAACUGACUGUACAAUUGGAAGUACAACCACGGACAAUAACAACAUUAAGCCAUUGUCUGAGAUGACUGGGUCAGUGCAUUCCCCUACAAGCCCAAAAGCACCCAUGCAGACGGGCCCUAAGCACAAACUUAUCUAUGAAGCAGAUGUCCAAGUG